UCUUUGCCUGCUGCCAUCCACGUGAUAUGUGACUUGCUGCUCCUUGCCUUCUGCCAUAAUUGUGAGGCCUCCUCAGCCACACGGAAAUGCUUAUAGGCAUAAGAGACUUGCCUUGUCUCAGAUGAAACUUUGGACUGUGGACUUUUGAGUUAAUGCUGAUAUUAGGUGAUGCUGAUGCUGUUGGCUCCCAGACACCACUUUGGGUAACAAGCUCCUACAUCAGAGGUCAACGAACUACGGACUCUGCUUACCCUUUGUGAAUAAGCCCAGUGAAUCUGCUGAGUGAUGAGAGAGAGAGUGGGCCAGUCACUUCAUUGCUCCAGGAUUUUCUGUUGAAUGACACUUCAUAAAAAAGACUUUGAUUGCUGAGUUACAAAGACAAUUGUAUCUUCUUGUAAAGCAUACAGUCUUGGUGGUCCUACCCCAUGAACUGGCUGUCCCAGGACGGUUUUACGGUCCUGCACAGUUCAAUAUUAAAUGGAGUUUCUACCCUAGCAUGAAAGGAGGAAGAGAGAAAAUCGGAUCCAAGAGAAAUUCGGCUCCAACAUUCCCCAAAUAUUAGAGCCAGCUUCUGCAAAGCCCAGCCAGGAGCUCAAGUGUUCUGUUCCCCCAGCUGUCAAUCAGAGUAGGGAGGGCAUGAAGGAGACAUAGGAGAUAGAUUCAUGAAGAAUACUUGUUACUUUUAUAUGUGAUCUGCAACUUUAAGAAUUUUUUUUCCUGAUACUACCAAAAUGAAUUCAUCAAAAGAUAGCCUAAUGAUGAGGCUUUUCUGCCACUUUGCUGUUAUUAGACUCCAGGGAGUAAAUGUCUCUUAUUAUCAUAAAAAGGGAAAUUAUGAGCUUUUUCUCCAAGAGCUAUAAGACAAUCUUAUCUUCAUUUUCAUUCUUCCAGGUGGUUAUGUUGAAGAUGUAAAUAUUCUCCCUGCUGUGAGUAUUACUGCAGCUGCCCAAAGAUGCUUUAUUUUAAAGAUGUGGAUACAGGAAGAUAAAAGCAUCAGAAACACUGCAUGGGGAAAUCAUUCAGACUGCAGCUUCCUGGUUUUAGACAUCCCCACUGGCAAUUGGGACAUCUAUUUUGGAGAUGUAAUUGAAAAGACUGAAGAAUGUACUGAGGACCUUCUGGCUGAUAGAAGCUGACAAAGAAGCCAAGAUUGGUGAAGAUUUCUGCAAUACCUGAGUUUCUAAUCACAACAACAAAAAUGGUAUUUAUUUCCUAUUGACCCAAACAGUGGCAACGUUUUAGUCAAGGUGAUUUAGAGGAGGUUAGAAAGAGAGGUGGAUGCUUGGGCCAUAUUAAAGGCAGAAAAUGGGUUAUUCUCCCAUUAUCUUUUACCUGGAUAGAAAACCUUGGAGAUAGUAAUUGAUGGGCAUCACGUAGCUGGUUGCUGGAGAAACACUGAAGCAGAACUUGUAAUAUCUUCAAAACAAGUGAAGGCCAGGAAUCAGAAAUGCUUCUGAAGGUCAGCUGCCUCUCCAGCCAUCUAUGAAGAGCUAUGGUUCUGAAUCCUGGCUAAUAUCAGAAUCAUCCUGGGAGCUUUUGAAAAUCCUGAUGCUCAAGUCACACUCCAUACUCAGGCAAGAAGCUGAGUCUCAGAGAGAGAAAAUGACUCAUCCAAGCAAGGUUUGAGACCUAAGAAAGGUUGUGUAAGCAGAAGCUGGAAGACCCUUGAAAAGAGCAUUCAUUCAAGAAAUGAAGCAUGAGAUAGGAUGGAAGGAGGGAAGAAAGACAAGCAUAUGGCAUAUCAGGUCUCUUCCAGUGCUAAAGGCUGCCUAUGAUACUCAUCUGACCUGAUUUCUCCUGCACAGUGUUGCAACUGACGAGUAGCAGACUUGCCCUUGCCUGCAUUUGGGGGGAUGGCUGAGACUUUCCUUACAGAAAGCCCUACUUUCAGCAUGAACACUAACCCAGUUUAUUGGCUCAGGGUGUAGAGAGUUGCCUUGUCACUGGCGAAGUCAGAUGCAGCCAGUACCAGAGCUCUGCACUAGCUGUGAACACUAAGGAAGAAUAGCUGAGUGAGGAAGCAGAGUGCCAGGCAGCACAUCCUUCUUCAGGUGUUUCCUGCCCUGGGCCAGAUCCCAGGCACUGCAGCAAUAUCUCUGCAUGAUCUAGGGCUCCUGGAAAUAGCCCAUUAAGGGCAAAACUCGCUGCCCAGAAAACAUUAGAACAUUAAAAGAGCAGGGUCUCAUCUGAUUGUCUUGGUUUCCUGAGGCUCAUUCAGUCUGUGUCCACUGGUUUCAGUCUGAGUUCUCUGCACUUUGAGGAUGCAGACAGUGAAGUUCUCCCAUGGUUAUAGGGGGAGAGAUCAUAGGAAUGCUAUGGAAAGAGGCCUGAAGUCAGAGCCAGCUAGUGGUUAUUAUUUAUUAAUUGCCUGUGAGGUGCCAGGCGCACAUAUUAGACCAUAUGUGAUUGCAGUGAGCCACCCGGAUCCCCUUCAAGCUGCUGCUGCAGCUGAUGGAAGUCCUAUUGGCAGACAGCCUUCUCUCAUCAGCCCCUUCAGGACUUGCCUCAGUUGCAGAGAGCUGCCUUCCCCAAGAUCACACCCUUCCCUGGGGACUCACAACCAAUGGCUGAUCCAGAAGAAUCCAUAAAGCCCGUAUCAUUUCAGCCCAAUUUAGGACAGCUUUGUUGAGCCAUUAGACCUACAUGCAGCCCAACCUCUCCUUCUACCCACUUCUUCUUUCUUCCCUUUCCUUCCACGGUGUCUGUUCCAAGCACUUGCCUUAAUAAACAUGUAACAGGUUAAAC
rnacentral:lncRNA from 10 species